GAUGAACGCUGGCGGCGUGCCUAAUACAUGCAAGUCGAGCGAACAGACGAGGAGCUUGCUCCUCUGACGUUAGCGGCGGACGGGUGAGUAACACGUGGAUAACCUACCUAUAAGACUGGGAUAACUUCGGGAAACCGGAGCUAAUACCGGAUAAUAUAUUGAACCGCAUGGUUCAAUAGUGAAAGACGGUUUUGCUGUCACUUAUAGAUGGAUCCGCGCCGCAUUAGCUAGUUGGUAAGGUAACGGCUUACCAAGGCAACGAUGCGUAGCCGACCUGAGAGGGUGGUCAGCCACACUGGAACUGAGACACGGUCCAGACUCCUACGGGAGGCAGCAGUAGGGAAUCUUCCGCAAUGGGCGAAAGCCUGACGGAGCAACGCCGCGUGAGGGAUGAAGGUCGUCGGAUCGUAAAACUCUGUUAUUAGGGAAGAACAAAUGUGUAAGUAACUAUGCACGUCUUGACGGUACCUAAGCAGAAAGCCACGGCUAACUACGUG
rnacentral:rRNA from 1 species